rnacentral:lncRNA from 10 species
GUGAGAUCCUGUCUCAAAGCCAACAAUACCAAAUUAUGCCUGAUACAUAGUAGGCAUCAGUAAAUGACAAUGAUGAUGGUGACAGUGACAAUAGCAACAUCAUGAAGUCAGCUGUUCUUCUGUUAUUUGUCUCAAAUUGCCCUCACUCCUGAGUGUGAGAUUCCCGAGUCAAAGGGUAAAACAGUUUUCCAGCUCCUCGAGUGGUG